rnacentral:rRNA from 1 species
UGGGGAAUCUUGCACAAUGGGGGAAACCCUGAUGCAGCGACGCCGCGUGGGUGAUGAAGUCCUUCGGGAUGUAAAGCCCUUUCGACAGGAACGAUAAUGACGGUACCUGGAGAAGAAGCUGCGGCUAACUACGUGCCAGCAGCCGCGGUAAUACGUAGGCAGCAAGCGUUGCUCGGAGCUACUGGGCGUAAAGAGUGUGUAGGCGGUUAGGUAAGUUCGUUGUGAAAUCUCCCGGCUUAACUGGGAGGGUGCGGCGAAGACUGCCUGGCUUGAGUGCGGGAGAGGAAAGCGGAAUUCCUGGUGUAGCGGUGAAAUGCGUAGAUAUCAGGAGGAACACCUGUGGUGUAGACGGCUUUCUGGACCGUGACUGACGCUGAGACACGAAAGUGUGGGUAGCAAACAGGAUUAGAUACCCUGGUAGUCCACACCCUAAACGAUGCAUACUUGGUGUUGGCCAUUCAGUUGGUCAGUGCCGGAGCUAACGCGUUAAGUAUGCCGCCUGGGGAGUACGGUCGCAAGGCUG